UACAGAGGGGGCAAGCGUUAUUCGGAAUUAUUGGGCGUAAGGGGCGCGUAGGCGGCCUGGCAAGUGGAAGGUGAAAUCCCUCGGCCUAACCGAGGAACUGCCCUCCAAACUGCUUGGCUUGAGUCCGGGAGAGGUGAGUGGAAUUCCCAGUGUAGCGGUGAAAUGCGUAGAUAUUGGGAGGAACACCAGUGGCGAAGGCGGCUCACUGGACCGGAACUGACGCUGAGGCGCGAAAGCGUGGGGAGCAAACGGG
rnacentral:rRNA from 1 species